rnacentral:rRNA from 1 species
AUUGAACGCUGGCGGCAGGCCUAACACAUGCAAGUCGAGCGGAUGACGGGAGCUUGCUCCUUGAUUCAGCGGCGGACGGGUGAGUAAUGCCUAGGAAUCUGCCUGGUAGUGGGGGACAACGUUUCGAAAGGAACGCUAAUACCGCAUACGUCCUACGGGAGAAAGCAGGGGACCUUCGGGCCUUGCGCUAUCAGAUGAGCCUAGGUCGGAUUAGCUAGUAGGUGAGGUAAUGGCUCACCUAGGCGACGAUCCGUAACUGGUCUGAGAGGAUGAUCAGUCACACUGGAAAUGAGACACGGUCCAGACUCCUACGGGAGGCAGCAGUGGGUAAUAUUGGACAAUGGGCGAAAGCCUGAUCCAGCCAUGCCGCGUGUGUGAAGAAGGUCUUCGGAUUGUAAAGCACUUUAAGUUGGGAGGAAGGGUUGUACGUUAAUACCGUGCAAUUUUGACGUUACCGACAGAAUAAGCACCGGCUAACUCUGUGCCAGCCGCCGCCGUAA